rnacentral:rRNA from 1 species
AUUGAACGCUGGCGGCAGGCUUAAUACAUGCAAGUCAAGGGGGUAGCAAUACAACCGGCGCACGGGUGAGUAACGCGUACACAACAUACCAUAUACUGGGGUAUAGCUUUGGGAAACUGAAGGUAAUCCCCCAUAACAUUGCGAGAGGGCAUCUGAUUGCAAUUAAAGUUUCGGCGGUAUAUGAUUGGUGUGCGUUUGAUUAGCUAGUUGGUAGGGUAACGGCCUACCAAGGCGACGAUCAAUAGCUGGCGUGAGAGCGCGACCAGCCACACUGGAACUGAGACACGGUCCAGACUCCUACGGGAGGCAGCAGUAGGGAAUAUUGGACAAUGGAGGAAACUCUGAUCCAGCCAUGCCGCGUGAUAGAUGAAGGCCCUCUGGGUUGUAAAUAUCUUUUAUCUGGGACGAAAAAGGGCUUUCUAGCUCACUUGACGGUACCAGAGGAAUAAGCACCGGCUAACUCCGUGCCAGCAGCCGCGGUAAU